rnacentral:tRNA from 1 species
GCAGGAAUAGCUCGGUGGCAGAGCAUCUCGUUGCCAACGAGAAGGUCGUCCCGACUUUCGGGAAAUCUCGUUUCCCGCUCAA